UGGGGAAUUUUGGACAAUGGGCGAAAGCCUGAUCCAGCAAUGCCGCGUGUGUGAAGAAGGCCUUCGGGUUGUAAAGCACUUUUGUCCGGAAAGAAAUCCUUGGCUCUAAUACAGUCGGGGGAUGACGGUACCGGAAGAAUAAGCACCGGCUAACUACGUGCCAGCAGCCGCGGUAAUACGUAGGGUGCAAGCGUUAAUCGGAAUUACUGGGCGUAAAGCGUGCGCAGGCGGUUUGCUAAGACCGAUGUGAAAUCCCCGGGCUCAACCUGGGAACUGCAUUGGUGACUGGCAGGCUAGAGUAUGGCAGAGGGGGGUAGAAUUCCACGUGUAGCAGUGAAAUGCGUAGAGAUGUGGAGGAAUACCGAUGGCGAAGGCAGCCCCCUGGGCCAAUACUGACGCUCAUGCACGAAAGCGUGGGGAGCAAACAGGAUUAGAUACCCUGGUAGUCCACGCCCUAAAACGAUGUCAACUAGUUGUUGGGGAUUCAUUUCCUUAGUAACGUAGCUAACGCGUGAAGUUGACCGCCUGGGGAGUGCGGUCGCAAGAUUAAAACUUAAAUGAAUUGAC
rnacentral:rRNA from 1 species